rnacentral:rRNA from 1 species
GACGAACGCUGGCGGCGUGCUUAACACAUGCAAGUCGAACGGAUCCUUUGGGAUUAGUGGCGGACGGGUGAGUAACACGUGGGAACGUGCCCUUUGGUUCGGAACAACUCAGGGAAACUUGAGCUAAUACCGGAUGUGCCCUUCGGGGGAAAGAUUUAUCGCCAUUGGAGCGGCCCGCGUCUGAUUAGCUAGUUGGUGGGUAAAGGCCCACCAAGGCGACGAACAGUAGCUGGUCUGAGAGGAUGAUCAGCCACAUUGGGACUGAGACACGGCCCAAACUCCUACGGGAGGCAGCAGUGGGGAAUCUUGCGCAAUGGGCGAAAGCCUGACGCAGCCAUGCCGCGUGAAUGAUGAAGGUCUUAGGAUUGUAAAAUUCUUUCACCGGGGACGAUAAUGACGGUACCCGGAGAAGAAGCCCCGGCUAACUUCGUGCCAGCCGCCGCAGUAA